rnacentral:rRNA from 1 species
UACGGGGGGAGCAAGCGUUGUUCGGAUUUACUGGGCGUAAAGGGCGCGUAGGCGGCCUUCUAAGUCGAACGUGAAAUCCCCGGGCUCAACCCGGGAACUGCGUCCGAUACUGGAAGGCUUGAAUCCGGGAGAGGGAUGUGGAAUUCCAGGUGUAGCGGUGAAAUGCGUAGAUAUCUGGAGGAACACCGGUGGCGAAGGCGACAUCCUGGACCGGUAUUGACGCUGAGGCGCGAAAGCCAGGGGAGCAAAGCGGG